rnacentral:rRNA from 1 species
CAGUAGCCGCGGUAAUACGUAGGGUGCAAGCGUUAAUCGGAAUUACUGGGCGUAAAGCGUGCGCAGGCGGUUUGUUAAGACAGAUGUGAAAUCCCCGGGCUCAACCUGGGAACUGCAUUUGUGACUGGCAGGCUAGAGUAUGGCAGAGGGGGGUGGAAUUCCGCGUGUAGCAGUGAAAUGCGUAGAUAUGCGGAGGAACACCGAUGGCGAAGGCAAUCCCCUGGGCCUGUACUGACGCUCAUGCACGAAAGCGUGGGGAGCAAACAGGAUUAGAUACCCCCGUAGUCCCUGUCUCUUAUAC